rnacentral:snoRNA from 12 species
AGCCUGUGAUGAGUCUUUCAUUUCUGACACCUCGUAUGAGAACUGCACGUGCAGUCUGAUUAAUUUGCAAGACUGAGGCUU